rfam:Schistosoma margrebowiei strain Zambia genome assembly, scaffold: SMRZ_contig0001606
GCACUGCUGAAGAGUCUCAAGCUGGGACGAAACGGCCGUCCAGUGC